GACAGAGGGUGCAAACGUUGUUCGGAAUUACUGGGCGUAAAGCGCGUGUAGGCGGCUAAGUAAGUCGGGCGUGAAAUCCCACGGCUCAACCGUGGAAGUGCACUCGAAACUGCGUAGCUAGAGUCCUGGAGAGGAAGGUGGAAUGCUUGGUGUAGAGGUGAAAUUCGUAGAUAUCAGGAGGAACACCGGUGGCGAAGGCGGGUCUCUGGGCAGUAACUGACGCUGAGGAGCGAAAGCGUGGGGAGCGAACAGG
rnacentral:rRNA from 1 species